CCUACGGGAGGCAGCAGUAGGGAAUAUUGCUCAAUGGGGGAAACCCUGAAGCAGCAACGCCGCGUGGAGGAUGAAGGUUUUCGGAUUGUAAACUCCUUUUGUUAGAGAAGAUAAUGACGGUAUCUAACGAAUAAGCACCGGCUAACUCCGGGCCAGCAGCCGCGGUAAUACGGAGGGUGCAAGCGUUACUCGGAAUCACUGGGGGGAAAGAGCGCGUAGGCGGGAUAGCAAGUCAGUUGUGAAAUCCUAUGGCUUAACCAUAGAACUGCAUUUGAAAAUGUUAGUCUAGAGUUUGGGAGGGGUAGGUGGAAUUCUUGGUGUAGGGGUAAAAUCCGUAGAGAUCAAGAGGAAUACUCAUUGCGAAGGCGACCUGCUAGAACAUAACUGACGCUGAUGCGCGAAAGCGUGGGGAGCAAACAGGAUUAGAUACCCUUGUAGUC
rnacentral:rRNA from 1 species